CCCAAAUGAGCCACUCCUUUUUCCUUCUCAAGUAUCUCAUCGGGAAGCUGAAAGUUUUCUUCAGCACUAGAUCCGAUGGAUACAGUUUAAAAGUUAAAUAACUGACCAGACAGUAGUGACUGACACCUUGAAUCUCAGCACUCAGGAGGCAGAGGCAGAUGACAGAUCCCAAGUACAGGAGUCAUGUUUUGAAGACAGAAACAAGGCCUGCUUGUUUGGCACAGAUUAAAAAAAAAGUCUACUGCAUUUAAUUAUGGAUGGUGUUUUGAUUCAAAGGAGAGUAGUACUUACAGACAGAUUCAAGGAACAAGAAAAGAAUAAACAUUUGGUUGUGACAUCUCGGAUACCAGGGAGCAAGCACCACAUCUCAUUCAACUCUUCAUUCUAGGAUCUAAUGCAGCCCACCUAGCACUGGACUAUUCGAUGCAAUGGCUGAUUAAAUAAAGAGACAGUAUCACUGGGAUGUGGACAACGCACAUGGAUUCGAGUUCUGCAGGGGCCUUCAAAUAGGAUCAAGGACAUGAAUUCAGAAGCCAUGGGUCAUGAAAAAGUGUGAUCAAGAACAGCAGUGGAAUCUGCAGAAGCAGAUGCACCCCUCCCCAGAGUCCCCAGGAAUGCUGAAUCACUUCUCCAAAUAAUGACCCUGUGAGCUCUGAGGGGGUGAUCUCUGCCCUUCACCGACUGUGUGAGCAAUGGCAUGGGCCAGAGGUUCCCACUGUGUGAUGUAUUCUUAGACACUGCGUAGGGAAGAAGUACAGGGGUAAGCUCUAUGAUGUCAAACUAUCCAUCACUCUAGGGAGUAGGAAAGCUGUAAACACAACCAUCCCUUUGCCACACAGAUGCUGAGUUCAGCAUCUUUGUUGUUGUUGUCAUUGCUGUGUUUUCUUUCUUCCUUUCAUUGUGAAGCUAAUGCUUAGAGGAGUAUGAACUUAAUAACAGAAGGCUAGUGCCUAAAUCAAAAUCAAUCCCAACACCAGGCCACCAGCCAUGCAGCAGUGACUGCAGCGUGAUUAUAUCUUUCAGAAGAACAUCUAUUAAAGGCAAUAUCGUGGGCCUCUUUUGAUGCCA